rnacentral:rRNA from 1 species
AACGAACGCUGGCGGCAUGCCUAACACAUGCAAGUCGAACGAGACCUUCGGGUCUAGUGGCGCACGGGUGCGUAACGCGUGGGAACCUGCCCUUAGGUUCGGAAUAACUCCCCGAAAGGGGUGCUAAUACCGGAUAAUGUCUUCGGACCAAAGAUUUAUCGCCUUUGGAUGGGCCCGCGUUGGAUUAGCUAGUUGGUAGGGUAAAAGCCUACCAAGGCGACGAUCCAUAGCUGGUCUGAGAGGAUGAUCAGCCACACUGGGACUGAGACACGGCCCAGACUGCUACGGGAGGCAGCAGUGGGGAAUAUUGGACAAUGGGCGAAAGCCUGAUCCAGCAAUGCCGCGUGAGUGAUGAAGGCCUUAGGGUUGUAAAGCUCUUUUACCCGGGAUGAUAAUGACAGUACCGGGAGAAUAAGCUCCGGCUAACUCCGUG